GCACUGCUGAAGAGUCUCACAUCAGGACGAAACGCCCGUCCAGUGC
rnacentral:hammerhead_ribozyme from 1 species